UACUUUUUAAGACUCCUAUAACUCAACAGCAAAACAAACACAAAGUGUCUACUUUUAAAAUAAGCCAAAGAGCUGAAUAGACGUCCGUCGAAGGAAGGUAUAUGAAUGGCCAACGUGUGCUUGAAAAGAUGCUCAACAUCACCCACGUUAGAGAAAUGCAGAUCAGAAGCACAGUGAGCUAUCGCAUGCCCGCUACAAUGGCCAUCGUCGCAAAGUCAAGAGAUAACCGAUGCUGGUGAGGAUGUGGAGAAGAGGCAACACCGUGCACCACGGGUGGGAAUGGAAGCUGGUCCAGCCAUGACGGGAAACAGGAUGGAGGGUCCUCCGAAGGUUACAAAUGCACCUACCACGUGAACCAGCAAUGCCACUUUUGGGUCUAUAGCCAAAGGAGUUGAAAACGGGAUCUCGAAGAGAUAUUUGCACCCCGUGUUCAUUGCAGCGUGACUUUCAGUAGCCGAGACAGGGUAGCAACGUGAGUGCCCAUCGACAGAGGAAUGAAUGAAGAAGAUGUGCUCUCUCCUCUUGGAUCAUUUGCUUUGGGAAAAGACAGCUGCCACGUCGUGUAAGCAGCCCUAUAGAGAGGCCCAUCUGGCAAGAAACCGAAGCCUCCUGCCAACAGCCAUGUGAGUGAUCUUGGAAGCAGACCCUCCAUCCCCAUCAGACGACUGCAGCCCCUGCUGACAACCCGCCUGCAGCCAGGGUUUGGCCAUGACUAUAACCGUGUAACGCACAGACGUGGAUCGAUUACUGAUACAGCCAACACACUUCCAAGGCUCAGAACUACAAUGAGCUUCUGAAGAUGAGGCAAUAACUUCCGGAGCAUGGAAGACAGAAAAGAUCCAGCGUUCGAUGGUGGCGAGGUGUAGAAGCAAUCUGUUUUGAAAGCUUAUUCUGCCAAUUACUGGUCAGUGCGUGUCGCAUCCAUCCAUUCGUUCAAUCUGUCUGCCGUUCAGUGCCUUUACCUGGGAAAUGGAGGUGAUUUUCUAUGCUCCAUAGGGCUCUCGUGGAGAUUGUGUGACAUCACUGAUUAUUAUUGUGACUUUGCCAAGUGGCUUGCUGUGGCCUGAGGAAUGUAGUUGGGAAUGACACCCCAUGAAUUCUGAGCCCAGGCUUUAAAGGCAUUGUGUGUUUUUGCUGGCUCCUCAGGGAGCCACUCUUCUGCCUCCCAGGUGCCCUGGGCCCCAGAACGGGAGCAGAGUGACCCCAGGUGACAUGAGCCAGACCUGAAGCCUGAAGCCAAGCCCAGGAGCAUGCCGCUGAACCCUAGCUGAGCUGCAGGCGCGGGAAUGAGAAGUAAUUGCCUACUGCUUUCGGCCACUGAUGCUUUGUAAUUGUUUGUUAUGUGACAACAGCUAACUGAUACAGCCACAGAGAGAUGAAUCAAAGACACAAUGAGCUUUCAGCCCAGGCAUGUGGGAGACAGAGGAGGGAGGGUCACGCUCUGGGAGAAACUCAUCGUGUGAUCGUUGAGCAGUGCACGUUGUCUAUCUGGUUCUUGUUUCUUCUAAUGUGAGGAGAUUAUAUACUCAUUGUAGAUGGCCCCAUAUAAUCGCAGUUCGAGGUAAAAACUUUCUGUAUCUAUA